rnacentral:rRNA from 1 species
UUCGAUGCAACGCGAAGAACCUUACCUGGUCUUGACAUCCCGGAGACCCUUAGGAAACUAGGGGGUGCUUCCAUCUGGAAGAAUCUGGAGACAGGUGCUGCAUGGCUGUCGUCAGCUCGUGUCGUGAGAUGUUGGGUUAAGUCCCGCAACGAGCGCAACCUUGCCUUUAGUUGCCAGCAGUUCGGCUGGGCACUCUAAAGGGACUGCCGGUGUUAAACCGGAGGAAGGUGGGGAUGACGUCAAGUCCUCAUGGCCUUUAUGACCAGGGCUACACACGUACUACAAUGGCCGAUACAAAGGGCAGCGACACUGCGAGGUGAAGCCAAUCCCGUAAAAUCGGUCUCAGUCCGGAUUGGAGUCUGCAACUCGACUCCAUGAAGUUGGAAUCGCUAGUAAUCGUGGAUCAGCAUGCCACGGUGAAUACGUUCCCGGGCCUU